CAAAAGGCAUCCAUCAAUGGCACUUUGCAGUACGGGGUACGGAAAGGGGCCGCCUCGUUCGACUUCGUCGACUUCUGCAUGCAGUUCUCCUUCCCGUCGACCGAAAGGGCCGACGGGCAGACGUUAUGCAGAGAAAGAUGACGACGCCAGUCAGUAAAAUUGUUGGCCAAUUUGUUGCCUACUUUGAGGCCAGUCGAUGAAAUGAGAGCUUCCUUCUUCAAGAAAUAUGUUGCCAGUCGUCAGUCCGAUGCCACUCGUCUUCUAAGCGUCGCACUUGACCUGGCAGCACCACGACGGAAUUUUUUUGCACAAGGGACCCUAGGUGAAUUCAACUCCUCAGAGAUAUCGCCAUGACAGGAUAUCACCAUGGUCAACAAGGUCAAAUGCUUCCAGCUGCCAACAGUGGAUUGCCUCAUUUCUCCCACUGGGGUGGUCCUAGCUUGAAGUGAUGUAUGAUAUCUGCUUACAUUUGAAAGCCAUCUGCUGGAAGGCAGUCAAAUGGGUUUUUCGUCAAACACAACCCUACCAAUGAAAUGAAGGCAACGAGGCAGGAGAGCAGAGACAACGAAUGGUAGAGUCACGAGGUGGCUGUGCCGGUGGGGAAGAUCCAGCUCAACAAGGUGUUCAUGCAAGUUUGAUUAGUACACCACCCUGGUCCGAAUCCUCAAUAUCAGUGAAUCUUACAGAUUGAUGGCUGCUGCCUUGACUCGUGAUGCCUACGAUUGGAUACAAGCUGCUCGAAGUAUGUUUCAAAUAAGAGUACAUGUAUCUUGAACUUAGCAUGAGAGGCAUCCACUUCGUUGGUAACAGCAGAACCUCUGCAUGACUGUCAUAACACUCUCUUUAUUGCAAUAUUUAGCCAAUACUCCCAUUUGUUGUAGCAUCUACCACAUCACUACAAGUGUGCAUUCAUUUCCUGGCUGGCUUGUGUGAACUUAUGAAUGCAAUCACGUGACGCUUCGUGUACACAUGCUCCCAUACUUUAGUGCAUGCGUGCGUGUGUUCAGGUAUGGGUGUGUAUGUUCGUUCACCUACAUACAUGCGUGCGUUUACAUGUA